rnacentral:lncRNA from 1 species
CCACAUUUCUUCUGCAUUUGGCCAUGCUAAGUUUGGGCUAUAAAUGCAAAUAUACGGAAAUAAUAUAUUAUUUAAAAGAGAAACCAUUUUAAUAACAUGUUAAAUUUUAAACUUCCCAAAUGGCACAAGCAAUACAUGUUUAUUGGAGCAAAAGAAAAUAAGGCUGCAGUCAGCUAUGAUCAUACCAUUGCACUCUAGUCUGGGCAACAGAGAGAGUCUCUUAAAAAUUAAAAAUUCAGCUGGGUGCGGUGGCUCAUACCUGUAAUCCCAACGUUUUUCUAGUAAAAAUACAAAAAAUUAGCUGAGUGUGGUGUUGAAAUUAGGACUGCUUGCAAUGUUUCAAAGUCUGUUUCUCAAAAAUGUAGAAUGUUGCUUAAAUUCUCCUUUAGUUACAUAAUAUUUCUUGGGUAC